rnacentral:rRNA from 1 species
AGUAACGCGUGGAUAACCUGCCUCACACUGGGGGAUAACAGUUAGAAAUGACUGCUAAUACCGCAUGAGCGCACAGUACCGCAUGGUACAGUGUGAAAAACUCCGGUGGUGUGAGAUGGAUCCGCGUCUGAUUAGCCAGGUGGCGGGGUAACGGCCCACCAAAGCGACGAUCAGUAGCCGACCUGAGAGGGUGACCGGCCACAUUGGGACUGAGACACGGCCCAA